GGAUGUGAGGGUGAUCUGGCUACUACACCUGUCACCCCAUUGAUCACCAGGGUUGAUUCGGCUGAUCUGGCUGGCCAGGUGGGUGUCCCCUUCCUCCCUUGCCACUCCAUGUGCAUCCCACCUGAAGCUGUGCGCUCGGUCCAAGAGGAUGACCUUCUCCAAAUAGAGGAGGACCCGUCUUCAGUCAAGGGUAUACGAGUAGCUGCGCUCCCCUGCUAGAACCUCCAAACAAGCUCUCAAAAUUAAACAAAAUAAAGGUCUGUGGAUGUAGCUCAGUGGUGCAGCCCUUG
rnacentral:snRNA from 1 species